rnacentral:lncRNA from 1 species
UCUAGUCCUUUCCCACUUGAGACAGAAUUUGAGUUUAUAAAUUCAGCCUUAAAAGAUCAAUACACACUUCCAAGCCAGCAUAUCCUCUCAUCUUAAAAUGGGUUUGUUUUUUAUGUAUAAAAAGCCAGUGGCUUAACUGAGUAGACACUAUCAUUUUUACAGGGCUAAUUGCAUUUGGAUAGGGCCCUGGGGGAGGGGAGUGGUGGGCUACGGUAGGCACAGGUAGAUGGGGGACAUCUGGCAUUCUUUGGGAAUUGUUGACAUUUUGCUUUUUUCCUCUGUCACUCGAUAACCCUUCUUCUAACAGUGGUAGACAUUCCAAGGUAGCUGGCUUGAGCAAACAAAGAGAACUUACUGGCUCACAUUACAAAAAAAAAAAAAAAUUCUGGAUAAACUGCAUUCAGGAGCAGCUGGACCAGACAGAACUCAGAAAUGAACUGCACGUCAGCUGUGCAGGCAGGGAGAAAGGAGGUGGAAGAGGCAAGGGAGCAAGAAAGGAAGGAGGGAAGCAAAAUAAACCCACUCCUGUGUAGAGCGUUGGAAAUGUGGCACUAACAAAGACUUCCUGUUCCACAUAGAAUCAGCGCUGGCAGAGGCGGCAUGCAGGGCUGUGGGUGUACUCAGCUGUGCAGAGCUGAUUAUAGAAGAUGAAAGGGCUUGGCAAUUUAUUUCAUCUCACACUGAAGCACUGCUGACAACUGAAAGUGAGGACAGAAGGAUUCAUUUGUUCAACUUCUGUUUUAAAAAACAGACUUCAAAUGAUACCACAGAGAAAAAGGAGGAAACGCUGCAGUGUAAUAAAAUGUCUAUUUUUAAAAAACACACUAGCUGCAGCAUUUUUAUUUCAUAGGUGGGUUUGAAGGCAAAGGGGUUGGCUUUUUUGUGGUUGUUAUCAAUUCCAGGGAAUGUGACAUGCACGCAGGAUCAAUUACUAAUCAAAUAGACCACGUUCACCUAAUCUGACCAAAGCUCUCGUGUACAUUCAUCCUUGAGUCCAAAGAUGAGUCACAGUGAGGAAAACCUAACCCUGCAGUGUUUAAAUACUUCCUAUGCAGGAUCUUUAUACUAAAACUGAAUAAAUGUAUGAUAUAUGAUGGAGAAUCUAUUUUAAAUUUUAUAAUCCUGGUCAUCUUAAUUUUUA